rnacentral:rRNA from 1 species
CCUUACGGUAGAUCUCCCACCCUUGAAAUUUUAUACCUUUGUUGCUUUGGCGGGCCGCUUCAGCUACCGGCUUCGGCUGGUGAGUGCCCGCCAGAGGACCCCAAACUCUGAAUUAUAGUGUUGUCCGAGUACUAUAAAAUAGUUAAAACUUUCAACAACGGAUCUCUUGGUUCUGGCAUCGAUGAAGAACGCAGCGAAAUGCGAUAAGUAAUGUGAAUUGCAGAAUUCAGUGAAUCAUCGAAUCUUUGAACGCACAUUGCGCCCCUUGGUAUUCCGAGGGGCAUGCCUGUUCGAGCGUCAUUAUAACCCUUCAAGCUCAGCUUGGUGUUGGGGCCUGCCGCACAGGCAGCCCUUAAAAUCAGUGGCGGUGCUAUCUGGCUCUAAGCGUAGUAAUUCUCCUCGCUAUAGAGUCCCGGUGGAUGCUUGCCAUUAACCCCCAAUUUUCUAUGGUUGACCUCGGAUCAGGUAGGGAUACCCGCUGAACUUAAGCAUAUCAAU